rnacentral:rRNA from 1 species
AGAACGAACGCUGGCGGCAGGCUUAACACAUGCAAGUCGAGCGCCCCGCAAGGGGAGCGGCAGACGGGUGAGUAACGCGUGGGAACAUACCCUCCGGUUCGGAAUAGCUCAGGGAAACUUGGAUUAAUACCGGAUACGGCCUAGCGGCGAAAGAUUGAUCGCCGGAGGAUUGGCCCGCGUCUGAUUAGCUAGUUGGUGGGGUAAUGGCCCACCAAGGCGACGAUCAGUAGCUGGUCUGAGAGGAUGAUCAGCCACAUUGGGACUGAGACACGGCCAAACUCCUACGGGAGGCAGCAGUGGGGAAUAUUGGACAAUGGGCGCAAGCCUGAUCCAGCCAUGCCGCGUGAGUGAUGACGGCCUUAGGGUUGUAAAGCUCUUUCGCUAGGGACGAUAAUGACGGUACCUAGACAAGAAGCCCGGCUAACUUCGUGCCAGCAGCCGC